rnacentral:rRNA from 1 species
CCUGGCUCAGGACGAACGCUGGCGGCGCGCCUAACACAUGCAAGUCGAACGAGCGAGAGAGAGCUUGCUUUCUCAAGCGAGUGGCGAACGGGUGAGUAACGCGUGAGGAACCUGCCUCAAAGAGGGGGACAACAGUUGGAAACGACUGCUAAUACCGCAUAAGCCCACGGGUCGGCAUCGACCAGAGGGAAAAGGAGCAAUCCGCUUUGAGAUGGCCUCGCGUCCGAUUAGCUAGUUGGUGAGGUAACGGCCCACCAAGGCAACGAUCGGUAGCCGGACUGAGAGGUUGAACGGCCACAUUGGGACUGAGACACGGCCCAGACUCCUACGGGAGGCAGCAGUGGGGAAUAUUGCACAAUGGGGGAAACCCUGAUGCAGCGACGCCGCGUGGAGGAAGAAGGUCUUCGGAUUGUAAACUCCUGUUGUUGAGGAAGAUAAUGACGGUACUCAACAAGGAAGUGACGGCUAACUACGUGCCAGCAGCCGCGGUAAAACGUAGGUCACAAGCGUUGUCCGGAAUUACUGGGUGUAAAGGGAGCGCAGGCGGGAAGACAAGUUGGAAGUGAAAUCUAUGGGCUCAACCCAUAAACUGCUUUCAAAACUGUUUUUCUUGAGUAGUGCAGAGGUAGGCGGAAUUCCCGGUGUAGCGGUGGAAUGCGUAGAUAUCGGGAGGAACACCAGUGGCGAAGGCGGCCUACUGGGCACCAACUGACGCUGAGGCUCGAAAGUGUGGGUAGCAAACAGGAUUAGAUACCCUGGUAGUCCACACCGUAAACGAUGAUUACUAGGUGUUGGAGGAUUGACCCCUUCAGUGCCGCAGUUAACACAAUAAGUAAUCCACCUGGGGAGUACGACCGCAAGGUUGAAACUCAAAGGAAUUGACGGGGGCCCGCACAAGCAGUGGAGUAUGUGGUUUAAUUCGACGCAACGCGAAGAACCUUACCAAGUCUUGACAUCCCUUGACGAACAUAGAAAUAUGUUUUCUCUUCGGAGCAAGGAGACAGGUGGUGCAUGGUUGUCGUCAGCUCGUGUCGUGAGAUGUUGGGUUAAGUCCCGCAACGAGCGCAACCCUUACUGUCAGUUACUACGCAAGAGGACUCUGGCAGGACUGCCGUUGACAAAACGGAGGAAGGUGGGGAUGACGUCAAAUCAUCAUGCCCUUUAUGACUUGGGCUACACACGUACUACAAUGGCGUUAAACAAAGAGAAGCAAGACCGCGAGGUGGAGCAAAACUCAGAAACAACGUCCCAGUUCGGACUGCAGGCUGCAACUCGCCUGCACGAAGUCGGAAUUGCUAGUAAUCGUGGAUCAGCAUGCCACGGUGAAUACGUUCCCGGGCCUUGUACACACCGCC